UUUAAAUAUAUUCAACUAUAGAAAAGGCAUGAAAUAUAUUGAUCUACUAUUCAAUCACAAAGUAGCUAUGUAUCUGCAUUUUAAAUCUCGUAAUGUAGUUUUGUAAUCUUCGGUAAUCUAGUAUUUUAGCUAUACUGUAUAUAUCUGUAUUAACAAAGAUACCUUGUAAUUGUUUAGAUUAUUCAAUUAUAGAAAAGGCAGGAAAUAUAUUGAUCUACUAUUUAGUCAUAAAGUAGCUAUGUAUCUGCAUUUUAAAUCUCGUAAUGUGGUUUUAUUAUUUCAGUAAUCUAUAGUAUUUUAGCGAUUUAUAUCUGUAUUAACAAACUAGUAAUGUAGCAACGUAUCUAUCAAGAAUCUAACAAUGCAACUGUCUGUAUCAAUAAUCUAAUAUAUACAAAUAAAUUUUUAUCAACAUCGUUCACAACUGUAACACAAGAAGAUCAAUAAGAUGCAGUUUUGAAAGUAUCUCAUCAGCAGCAUUGUAACAACUUCAGACUGAGAAUAAUACCGGCAAAAAGUUUGAUAAAUGUCCAUAUUAAUUAUACAGUAUUUUUCUCUGCGUCAGAAGUUUGAUAAAUGUUUGAUAAUUGUACAGCAUUUUUCUCUUCGUGUAACAAUCCUAAACAUUAAUAUUUGUCUUAUUUACUCAAUAAUUCAAUAGAUUUCCCUAAGUGAUAUAUUACCUCCUUCCAUUCUUCAGGGCUUCUCUCCUUCUCCUCCUCCUCCCUCCCUCCCUCCCCUCUAUCACACACCAGAUAUACAAAACAGAACUCAAUCUUACAUCACUUAAUCAUUAAUAUUUUCUUUCCUCAGCAAUGAUAUAUGUACAAUUUCUAUAAAUACUCUCACAACUAGUUUCCCACGUUCUAGUAAUUACAAAUGAGUGAAAGGAGGGAAAAAUAAGUACGAAUUUCGACAGCAGACUUCACGUUAAUCAUGAAUAGAUUUUUACAGGAAUUCUUUUACCUUCCCCUUCACACAAUCUCAUUUACUGUAAUUACUUUUUGAAGAAGGAAAACAACAUACAUUUUUAACAAUAUUAAUAAUAGACAACAUUAUUUAUUCUCCUUUCACAAUGUUCUCAUAAUUACUUUAGUUAUUCUCUAUGUGAAAAUUGAGAAAAAUGUAUAUAUUUUUUAAUAACAAUAAAAAUAACUAUACAAUCUUGAACAACUGUAUAAUAACUUUACUUUAAUUCUCCUUUCACAUAUUCUCAUAAUUACUUUAGUUACAAAUUUUUAAUAACAAUAUUCAUAAUAGCUAUAAUUAUAAAUAUUUGUGAUAACUUUUAAUUCUCCUUUCAGAGAUUUCCAUAAAUACUACAACUACUCCGUGUGAAAUGGGAGAAUAAACUUUUUUUUUUUUUACUUAAUCAAAUAAAUUCUCCUAACUUUUUUUUAUCAUACUCUUGUCAACACUAUAAUUGCUCUUGUACGAAAACGGAAACAUAUAUACUUUUUUUCUAUGAUACACUUCACUUGUAAACUUCCGUAUAUAACAAAGAUAAUUAUUAAGGGGCAUGCAGGACUUUAGGAAAAUACUAGAUCAUCUCUCCUAUAAUAUUCACAAUCUUUAUAUAAAUACUUUAAUCUUUCACGUCCUAUAUCAAUAACUCGCUUCCUAAAACCAUAAAUUAUCUCCCUCUAUAAACACACUUCCCAGUCUUUUUAUAAACACCCAAAUCAUCCAUGUUCCUUAAUGACUAUCUUCGUUAAACAAUGAAUUAUCUUACCAAUAGCUUACAAUCAUCACAACCACUUCAAUCUUGCAUUACCUUCAGAAUGACCUUUUGACCUUAUCUUAAUCCUGAGUCAUGGCCGAGACUAGACGAUUAUUAAGCCUUACGUGAAACAGACAACAGCGUAUUAAGUCUACAGGUAAACAAACAAGCAUUACAACCAGGUACGACGCAGGUAUACUCUACAGGUAGCGCGCGAGAUAGCAGAAUCCAGGUAAGACUUUAUAGGAGAAAGAUACGGCACUCGGUUGAUCCUUUCCGCGCGCCGGGUCACACCUCUCCUAUUCCCUUCCCUUCUGACCCUUCCCUUAGUUUAUCUUACGGAUGGGGAGACACCAAAGGGAAGAAAAGAGAGAAGGGAAUGAAAGGGAGAAGGGAAUAAAAGGGAAAGGGAAUGAAAGGGAGAAGGGAUUGAAAGGGAAAGGAAGGUAAAUUACUUGCCCAAAUUUCCCACACCUGUUUUACUUUCCCUUUCCCUUACUUUCCCUCCUCUUACUAAUCAGACGGCUAAGGAAAGGAAAGGGAAAGGAGAGGGAAAGGACAGGUAGCUUAAUCACUUUCCCAGGUAAAUGAUCUAAAUGAGCUCUGUAACUGAUUCACUUUCCCUUUCUUCCCUUUUCUUUCCCAAGCUUACAAAAACAUAGACAGCGAGAAAAAGAAAAUGAAAGGGAAAGGACAGGUAGAUUAAUUACUUUCCCAGGUAAGUGAUCUAAAUGAGCUCUGUAAUUGAUUCCCUUUCCCUUUCUCCCCUUUUCUUUCCUAAGCUUACCAGAUCAAAUACAGCGAAGGGAAAGGAAAAAGAGAAAGGAAUGAAAGGGAAAGGCCAGGUAGAUCAAUUUCUCACAGGUAAAUUCCUCAGGUGAACUCAUUUAUACCUAAUUAACUCUCCCUUCCUUUCCCAGGCUUGCAGGGUUAAGGAAAGCAAAGGAAAGGUAAAGAGAGAAGGAAAUGAAAGGGAAAGUGACAGGUAGAUCAAUUUCUCACAGGUAAACUCUCCAGGUAAGUUCUCCCUGAGCUAAUUCACUUCUCUCCUUUCCCUUCAACUUCCCUCAACUUAUACACUGAAGACGAGAAAAUAGAAAAGAGAGUAAGAAAAGGGGCGAGGAAGAAGGAGAGGGGAGGAGGCAGGUAAGAUAAGGGGGUAUGGACAGGUAACAAUCAAGGUGAAACUAAUUAUUUAUCUUGUAAACUAAGGUGAGAAGAUGAAAACACUCACCAUAUUAAAAAUCAUCCUCUUCCUCCUCCUCUUCUUCCUCCUGUUUCUUCCUUACUUCCUCUCCCUCUCUCACUCCUUCUCCUCCUCCUCCCCCGUUUUUUCUUCACUUUCUCUCCUUCUCUCACUCUUCCUCCUCCUCCUCCUCUUCAUCUCUCUCCUCCUCAUCCACGCACGGCGGUGACCUACCCGAGUCAAGACAAACAGAACUAAAAAAAGUCCAGCCCGUGUACAGCCGAGGCGACGAACCCGACGGAGUGAAGCAACGAACGAAUCCCUGAAGCUUCGAACCAACGCUUUAAGGAGUCGAGGAGGAAAGGACCGCGACAACCCUCUAAUCAACAACUUAACCUAAUUUAACUUCAACUUUUUUUUUCUUUCGUCUCGAUUGACACUUUAUAAGCAAAUGUAAUUGGCGUAACUAAUUUUUUCAACAUUUUAUAUCGUCUGAAGAGCAUUGCGUGGUUACUGUGUCUAUUUUGCCAUUAUUAGGCUCAAAAUUUGCCCCAAGACACUUUAUAAACAUUACUUAAAACGAGUCUCGGUCGCUUAAAUCUAGUUGCGAGCGCUUUAGGAUAAGUAUCAAUGACUGAACUCCAAGAAAACAAAGGGGCAGAUAAAUAUGAGAGGGAACGAUAGAACGUAACCAGGAUGUUAUGUCGCUAAAGUUACGAUGACGGAACUAAAAAUACGAUCACUUAAUUUGGGUUACGAUCACCUCGAGCUACAAUUGCUUAAGUUACAAUCGCUUAAGUUAUACAAUCACUUAAGUUAUACAGUCGCUUAAGUUA